UAACUCUGGGAAAUCGCUUUGCCCUGGGAGCUUCCUUUUUGAGAUGAUGUCUCGCCUUUGUUAGUGAAGGAUAAAGAGGGAAGUGGCACCCACAGAAGAAAGAGAUGGGGUAGACCAAAAGCAAGAUGUCACCCACACCUCAAUUUCCCCGGCAGGAUUGGGGUAUACCAACCAAAGUCCAGGCAGAAUGACGUCUAAGCCAGAGAAACAACGCCAUGAUGACAAGAGCCAAGUGUUCAUCUGCUACCAGUUCAUCAUGGAAUUUCUGUUGAGGGUCAUGAAAAACACUUGGCUACUUCCUCCAGAUCGCACGGAUGCAAAAAAUACCUG